rnacentral:rRNA from 1 species
CACGAACGCUGGCGGCAGGCUUAACACAUGCAAGUCGAGCGCCCCGCAAGGGGAGCGGCAGACGGGUGAGUAACGCGUGGGAAUCUACCCAUCUCUACGGAAUAACGCAUGGAAACGUGUGCUAAUACCGUAUACGUCCUUCGGGAGAAAGAUUUAUCGGAGAUGGAUGAGCCCGCGUUGGAUUAGCUAGUUGGUGGGGUAAAGGCCUACCAAGGCGACGAUCCAUAGCUGGUCUGAGAGGAUGAUCAGCCACACUGGGACUGAGACACGGCCCAGACUCCUACGGGAGGCAGCAGUGGGGAAUAUUGGACAAUGGGCGCAAGCCUGAUCCAGCCAUGCCGCGUGAGUGAUGAAGGCCCUAGGGUUGUAAAGCUCUUUCACCGGUGAAGAUAAUGACGGUAACCGGAGAAGGAGCCCCGGCUAACUUCGUGCCAGCAGCAGCCGCCGUAA